CCUACGGGUGGCAGCAGUGAGGAAUAUUGGUCAAUGGACGAGAGUCUGAACCAGCCAAGUAGCGUGAAGGAUGACUGCCCUAUGGGUUUUAAACUUCUUUUAUAAAGGAAUAAAACGAGGCACGUGUGCCUUUUUGCAUGUACUUUAUGAAUAAGGCACGGCUAACUCCGUGCCAGCAGCCGCGGUAAUACGGAGGGUCCGAGCGUUAUCCGGAUUUAUUGGGUUUAAAGGGAGCGUAGAUGGGUUGUUAAGUCAGUUGUGAAAGUUUGCGGCUCAACCGUAAAAUUGCAAUUGAUACUGGCAGUCUUGAGUACAGUUGAGGUAGGCGGAAUUCGUGGUGUAGCGGUGAAAUGCUUAGAUAUCACGAAGAACCCCGAUUGCGAAGGCAGCUUACUAAACUGUGACUGACAUUGAUGCUCGAAAGUGUGGGGAGCAAACAGGAUUAGAUACCCGUGUAGUC
rnacentral:rRNA from 1 species